AGAUGAUUUCGAUGCUGGAUGAAUGUGCUGAGGGUGUUCUCUACAAUCAGUGGAAAACUAAGUUUUCAACAGACUUGUUGCUGAGGGCAGAUGACAAGAAGAAACCAUACCCAGAAAACAUACUGGGAUUACUCCGCUUCAUGCGAAACCUCCAGGAGCACUAGUGAGUUAAAAGGAGGAAUAAACUCAAAACAGUGAUAUUGAGAUUUUUAACAAGUUUUCCGUCCCGUCCCUGAGCUCCACAACUCAAUUCACAUCCACUUUAAAGUCCCGAUGAUGCAGCCAGCGUUGAUCUCACAUCACUGUUUCCUCAUCUUUUUGGAUGUGUUUAUAAAUUCACCAUAAGGAAAGGGUGGAAUUUAGAGAAUCCCCUGAAGGGAAUGUUCAUACUCGAAAAGACAGUAUGCGCCAACAGACAUGAAGUGGAACCCAUAAACGAUGAAGUGCAAGUUGGCCUUGCAGUUCAAGAAUCUGAACACUUACUGAGCCAACUAGCGGUAUCUAGUUCAGUAGAACCAACCUGGACAGACUGAAUGGAUUAUGAAACUGCACCAUUUAUAGAGACUAUUUGAACAGGCAGUUAGAAUUUUUUUUAUAUUUUUACACUGCAAUUUAAGUUGACUGAUUAAACCAGUCAAAGAAAAAAUAUAUAUAAGAAAAUUUGUUUGGUCAUUUUAGCUUCUUGAGAUUUUGUAAUGUUCUUAAAAACAUUUCUCUCUUUUAAUAUUAUACUCAAAAAUACUUGAUCUAUCCAAACAUGUUAAAAUAUGUUGUGAGAAAUGUUUUAUCUCGUUUUGUUGGGUUCAUGUGAUGCUACUGCCAUCUGUGGCGUACCCUUGUGCGAGAGCUUGUGUGGGUGCAAACGUGAACGCGGCUCCAGUCGUUUUGAAACAGCAGAUUAUAUAUUUAUAUAUUCAAUUGUUUUCAACCUUUUUGACAAACAAACAUUAUUAAAGUUGAUGGGACUGUUGGGCCUUUUGCAGAAGUAUGUGCUUGACCAUGUGCCAUUAAGAUUCACUGUAUUUUAAAUGAAUUUUGUUCAGAUUUCAGACAUUCAUUGUGCGAAUUUCAGCUGAUUUUGCUGAUAUAGAAAGA